rnacentral:lncRNA from 1 species
UUGCCUUACCAUAUUAUGUGUACGUGCAUGGCAUGAUAUGGCAUGAUUGGGUCAAAUAAUUUUGCAAGCGCAUGUGGUCAUGCACCUAUCAUCCCUAAAGUUUGACUAGAUAUGUAACAAUUGGAUUUUGGUAAAUGCAAGUAUUUAAAUAGUCAAUUCGAGACUAUUAAGAAAGAGUUUAUAAAAUUUAAAUCUUUUUCAAAAAAGAGUAAUUAAAAUUUUCAUAUAAAGUUUGAUUUUCUUAAAAAAUUAAAAUCUCUAAUAAUAUUUUAUAACAACAAAAAUAAAGAAUCACUACCACCAAUAAAAAUAAAAAUAAAAAUAAAAAUAAAGAAGCACUACCACCACCGUCGAGUUUGACUUCUCUAAAGUCAUCGUCUGACAUGUACACAUGGAAUCCUCGACCUGAGCGACAUCCGUU